GAGAGGAAGAAGAUGAGGCUCCUUUAAUCCAAAAGCUUCUUCUUCACCUUCUUCUCCUUCUUUGUCUUCCUUUCUUUCCUUCUUCUUCUUCUCCUUCUUUAUCUUCUAGAGAGAGAAAGAGAGGAGAGAGUGUGUGAGGUUGAGGAAAUGAGAGAAAAUCUCAUUAACCCUCAAUACAUAGCUAUUGGGUUGCACAAUUGCAGCUAAACCCCUCAACUUUCAACUCUGUGCACUGCCUGGACUGGGCAGAUUUCGGGCUCGGGGACCGGUCUCCCCGACUAGGGACCGGUCUCCGAGAGCUCUCCCAGCGCAGCCAGAGCUGCUGCGCGCGACGCAUCCGGUCCCUCCUUGGGGGACCGGUCUCUCGGGGACCGGUCUCUCAUACAGGGAUCGGUUCCCGAGAGCUACUUUCUCAGGACUUAGCCGAUUUUUCGGCUGUCUGAUUUCAUACGCGUUCGGGGACCGGUCUCUCCCACCAGGGACCGGUCCCCGAGAGCUGAAAAUCUGCAGUUUUGCAGAAUUCAAUUCUUUAGCUCUCGAAAACCUUCCACAACUCACCUUUAAUCAUUUUAACACCUUCGGACUUUCCGAAGUGUUCCAUCCUCGCACUUU
rnacentral:lncRNA from 1 species